AAACUUAUCUUGUUCUUUCCCAUUUUUAUUCUCUUUCACACCGAGAUCUUAGAAAUCAAAAACCCUUUGUCCCUCUCCCUCAUCCAACAGUUAUUUGUGAACCUCUCUGCUUCUCCUCUUUUCUUUUUUUAUCUUCGUUGCUAAACCUAGAUUUGUUAAAAUCAACCUCAAUCUUCUAAAAUCAAACUAUUUUUUUUUAUUGUAAACAUAAAUCAAUUAAUCCAACUUGAUUUGCUGUAAAGCAAAAUCCAUCAGAAAUCAAACCAGACUUACCCAAACUUAAAUCAAUUAAUCCAACUCGAUUUGCUGUAAACCAAAAUCCAUCAGAAAUCAAACCCUUCACUUACCCAAAUUUCGUUUUAAACCCUAGAUAUGUGAUUUUAUCUGAUUUGAAAUGAGUUCCAGUGAAACCCUUAUUUGAUUGUUAUUGAUUUUAUGAGUCGAGUCUCAGAUCUGAAAUUUAUCUAUGUGAAUCAUGUCUUACAUCAGGAAAAAGAUGAAGAAGGUUCGAGGUUUUGCUGCUUUAGUGGGUGGAGAUCUUGUUGAUGGAGGUGGUAGUUUGACGGCGAAGCUGGCGGUUCUGCAGUUGUUGGCAUUAUGGGUGGAUGUUGGCGAAAAUGCAGACAGUGAGUGUGGAAGGGUAGGUAUGGUGCUCUGCAAGGUUAAUAAUCUGGUGAAGACAGCUUGUUCUUAAUGCUCUUUUGCCUCCGUUCUUGGAGGUACUUGUGCCAUUCCUGGAGCAUUUGGUUGUGGAAAGACGAUCAUUAUUAGUCAAGCUCUUUCUAAGUACUCUAAUUCAGACACCGUGGCUUAUGUUGGUUCUGGAGAAAGAGGAAAUGAGAUGGCUGAGCUUAUGCAAAGGGAUUACAAGCUGAGCUCAUAUUCAUUCAACUCUGUUUUAGCGCACUUCCUGGGAGAGAAGUACAAUGAUGGCAUGAUCCAGUCGAUGUUUCAUCUUCUGCGGACGUGCCAAGGACUCGUGAUUAGCAGAUGAACUCGAGAUUAAUAUUGUAUCAAACUGGCAAUAUAUCAGAGUUCUUGCCGAAGGUGACUUGGGUAAGGUCAAUAAGUGAUGCUCAUAUGCUUAUUAAAAUUUUCAAUGCAACACUUGUAUGGAGCAGGAACAUGACAUAAACAUUUUUACACCGACUAGAUGUUAUGCUAGAAAGAAAUUAUUGACUUAUGCUAGAUGUUGGAUUACCUGUAAGUUCAUAAUGUUGUAAAAUGUUUGUAAGGAUGAGUGACUGUCUUAUCACGUCAGGGUUCUACGUUAUUUGUGUUACUGUAAUUUUGAAAAUUCAAUACCAAUACAGGUUUCGUAA